CAGGGAAGACAGAAGGAGCACACGGAGGAUGCCUCGGCGCUGCGCGCCGAUGAAGGACGCGGCAAGGCGGCGAUAUGCGUGGGGGAGCCGCGUGCAGGCUGUGAUCCCACGAUCUCCGAAUGGGGCAACCCGUCCGUUCCGACGGACACCGCCAAUGGCGGAGGGCACCGGGGGAACUGAAACAUCUCAGUACCCCGAGGAAGAGAAAGCAUCCCCGUAGUAGUGGCGAGCGAACCGGGGGCAGCCUAAACCACGACCGUGGCAAGGAGGCAGCCGUUGCGGUCGUGGGGUUGCAGGGAGAGACCCGAGGGGGCUGCCUUCCCCCUCCACGCGCGUGAUGCGUCAGACGAAGCCGACUGGAAAGCGGCGCCGGAGAGCGUGACAGCCGCGUAGUCGACGGCGCGUCCGCGCGUGAGUCUCUUGCCUGAGUAGCGCCGGACACGAGCAACCCGGCGUGAAGCGGGGGCGACCACGCUCCAAGGCUAACUACGCGCAGCGACCGAUAGUGGACCAGUACCGUGAGGGAACGGUGAAAAGCACCCCGGCGAGGGGAGUGAAAGAGAACCUGAAACCGUGUGCUUACACGCAGUCGGAGCCUCCUUCGGGAGGUGACGGCGUGCCUUUUGGAGUAUGAUCCGGCGAGUUGCCCUCUGUGGCCCGGUUAAGGCAGUCACAGCCGGAGCCAGAGCGAACGCGAGUCUGAACAGGGCGCACGGUCGCAGGGGGCAGACCCGAAACCGCUUGAGCUACCCAUGGGCAGGGUGAAGCGCGCGUAACGGCGCGUGGAGGCCCGCACCGGUGUGGAUUGCAAACCGCUCGGAUGACCUGUGGGUAGGGGUGAAAUGCCAAUCGAAAGCGGAGAUAGCUGGUUCUCCCCGAAAUGCAUUGAGGUGCAGCCUGCGGCAGGGGCGCGCGGAGGUAGAGCGCUGGUGUGGUGCGGGGGCUUCACCGCCUGCCAAACGACGCCAAACUGCGAAUGCCGCGCGGUCGCCCGCAGAGUGAGACGUGCGGCGCAAACGUUGUACGUCGAGAGGGAAACAACCCAGACCUGCAGCUAAGGUCCCGAAAUCGACCCUGAGUGGGAAAGGAUGUGGCGGUGCGCAGACAACCAGGAGGUUGGCUUAGAAGCAGCCAUCCUUGAAAGAGUGCGUAACAGCUCACUGGUCGAGUGCCGCUGCGCCGACAAUCCAGCGGGGCAAAGGGUCGUACCGAAGCUCAGGACCGUCAGGGUGGUAGGGGAGCGUCGUGGACGCGGCGAAGCGGCGGCGGAAGCCAGCCGUGGAGCGUCGACGAGUGCGAAUGCCGGAACGAGUAACAGAGAAGCGGGGUGCGAACCCCCGCCACCGGAAGCCUGAGGGUUCCGCCGCAAGGGUGAUCCGCGGCGGGUUAGUCGGGCCUAAGGGGAUGCGCAAGCAGCACCCGAUGGACAACAGGUAGACAGUCCUGUACCAGGAAUGGGCCGUUUGACGGAUGCGGGACGCUGAGGGGUAGGCGCGGCGGUCAGACGAGGACCGUCCAAGCCGGUAGGGAGACGGCGGAGGCAAGUCCGCGCCGUCGCUGACCGAGAGGCGAGUGCGAGCGGGCGCCAUCCGGCGCACCGCAAGCGCGCUGAACCCGAACAGCCGAGAAAGGCCUGCUACGGAGGACCAUUCCUGCCCGUACCGCAAACCGACACAGGUAGGCUGGCUGAGGAAGCUCAGGUGGACGAGUGAUCCCUGGUUAAGGAACUCGGCAAAUUGACCCCGUACCUUCGGAAGAAGGGGUGCUCGGGGGGUGAACUCCGUCCGGAGGGAGCCCCGCCGAGUCGCAGCAAAGCGGCCCAGGCGACUGGUUACCAGAACCACAGGUCCGUGCUGAAGCCGAAAGGCGACGUAUACGGGCUGAUGCCUGCCCAGUGCCGGAAGGUUAAGGGGAGGGCUGCACGGUCUGAACCGAAGCCCCGGUGAACGGCGGCUGUAACUAUAACAGUCCUAAGGUAGCGAAAUUCCUUGUCGGGUAAGUUCCGACCCGCACGAAAGGCAUCACGAUCUGGGCAGUGUCUCGACCAGGGGCUCGGUGAAACUGCGCUGGCCGUUAGGACGCGGCCAACCCGUAGCAGGACAAAAAGACCCCGUGGAGCUUUACUACAGCUUGCCAUUGUGCGCGCUCCGCGCUUGCGUAGGAUAGGUGGGAGCCGGAGAACGCGCCCUUGCGGGGGCGCGGGAGGCGCCGGUGAAAUACCACUCUGGCGCGGCGUGCGCCCUCACCCGUGGAGCACGGGGACCGUGGCUGGCGGGUAGUUUGUCUGGGGCGGACGCCUCCUAAAAGGUAACGGAGGCGCGCAAUGGCGCCCUCAGGCGGGAUGGCAAUCCGCCGUGGAGUGCAAAGGCAGAAGGGCGCUUGACUGCAAGGCGGACAUGCCGCGCAGAGACGAAAGUCGGCCUUAGUGAUCCUACGGUACCGCGUGGAAGGGCCGUAGCAUAACGGAUAAAAGCUACCCCGGGGAUAACAGGCUGAUCGUGCCCAAGAGUUCACAUCGACGGCACGGUUUGGCACCUCGAUGUCGGCUCGUCGCAUCCUGGGGCUGGAGUCGGUCCCAAGGGUUGGGCUGUUCGCCCAUUAAAGCGGCACGCGAGCUGGGUUCAGAACGUCGUGAGACAGUUCGGUCUCUAUCCGCUACGGGCGCAUAGUGGCGUGCGGGGAGCUGCUCUUAGUACGAGAGGACCGGAGUGGACGGACCGCUGGUGGAGGAGUUGUGGGGCGGCCCGCAGGCUCCGUAGCCAUGUCCGGAGGCAAGAACCGCUGAAAGCAUCUAAGUGGGAAAUGCCCCCCAAGAUGACGCCACUCACGGCAGCAGGCCGGUAAGUCCCCCGGCAGACGACCGGGAAGGCGGCGCCAGCUGGAGGCCCCGUGAGGGGUAGAGGCGAGGCGUGCGCAUGGACGAGGGCUUCCCUGCU
rfam:Roseiflexus sp. RS-1, complete genome.